rnacentral:rRNA from 1 species
CCGACUGCUAUCAGAGUGGGACUAAGCCAUGCGAGUCGACAUAGCAAUAUGUGGCAUACGGCUCAGUAACACGUAGUCAACAUGCCCAGGGGACGUGGAUAACCUCGGGAAACUGAGGAUAAACCGCGAUAGGUCAUCACUUCUGGAAUGGGUAAUGACUUAAACCUAUAUGGCCCCUGGAUUGGACUGCGGCCGAUCAGGCUGUUGGUGAGGUAAUGGCCCACCAAACCUGUAACCGGUACGGGCUCUGAGAGGAGGAGCCCGGAGAUGGGCACUGAGACAAGGGCCCAGGCCCUAUGGGGCGCAGCAGGCGCGAAACCUCUGCAAUAGGCGAAAGCUUGACAGGGUUACUCUGAGUGAUUUCCGUUAAGGAGAUCUUUUGGCACCUCUAAAAAUGGUGCAGAAUAAGGGGUGGGCAAGUCUGGUGUCAGCCGCCGCGGUAAUACCAGCACCCCGAGUGGUCGGGACGUUUAUUGGGCCUAAAGCAUCCGUAGCCGGUUCUACAAGUCUUCCGUUAAAUCCACCUGCUUAACAGAUGGGCUGCGGAAGAUACUAUAGAGCUAGGGAGGCGGGAGAGGCAAGCGGUACUCGAUGGGUAGGGGUAAAAUCCGUUGAUCCAUUGAAGACCACCAGUGGCGAAGGCGGCUUGCCAGAACGCGCUCGACGGUGAGGGAUGAAAGCUGGGGGAGCAAACCGGAUUAGAUACCCGGGUAGUCCCAGCUGUAAACGAUGCAGACUCGGUGAUGAAUUGGCUUAUUGCUAAUUCAGUGCCGCAGGGAAGCCGUUAAGUUUGCCGCCUGGGGAGUACGGUCGCAAGACUGAAACUUAAAGGAAUUGGCGGGGGAGCACCACAAGGGGUGAAGCCUGCGGUUCAAUUGGAGUCAACGCCGGAAAUCUUACCGGGGGCGACAGCAGAGUGAAGGUCAAGCUGAAGACUUUACCAGACAAGCUGAGAGGAGGUGCAUGGCCGUCGCCAGCGCGUGCCGUGAGGUGUCCUGUUAAGUCAGGUAACGAGCGAGAUCCCUGCCUCUAGUUGCUACCAUUAUUCUCAGGAGUAGUGGAGCUAAUUAGAGGGACCGCCGUCGCUGAGACGGAGGAAGGUGGGGGCUACGGCAGGUCAGUAUGCCCCGAAACCCUCGGGCCACACGCGGGCUGCAAUGGUAAGGACAAUGAGUUUCGAUUCCGAAAGGAGGAGGCAAUCUCUAAACCUUACCACAGUUAUGAUUGAGGGCUGAAACUCGCCCUCAUGAAUAUGGAAUCCCUAGUAACCGCGUGUCACUAUCGCGCGGUGAAUACGUCCCUGCUCCUU